CUUGUUGAGACUGAGUGAAUCUUCUGUUCAUCUUGAAUGAAAGCUGGUACAGAAAAUUGGACACAUUCACCAGGCUGAUAAAUGUUUUCAGUACAGAGUUCUUCAUUGCUGCACAGCUCCAACCCACCCAUUACUGACUGUACCUGGAUGGGACCUCUCCAGAAGGCCAAGGAGCUGGCACUGACUUCAGCAGGCUUUGAAUCCAGAGCCCAGGGAGUGACCACUAGUUUUCCAUCACAAAAGACACAGAUUGAGGAAAGGGGCCAUCUCCUCGGAUCAGGUGUCUGCAGAAGAGCUCCUCAGACCCCCAG
rnacentral:lncRNA from 1 species